rnacentral:lncRNA from 1 species
GAACUGACCCACCAGAAGAGCUACUACCUCUGAGGCCACCACUAGGGCUACUGAUUUCAACUGUGAGACUGUUCCCGUAUCAGGAAGCCACACUAAACAAGCAGCUUGGCUUCAAAAUGAGUUUCAAGAUGUAACCUUGAAGCAAACUGCAGAAGCCUUCAAAAAAAUAAACUCCACAUCCCUCUCUUUCUCACCGCAUACACUCCCUCCACAUUUGUCUAACGGUACGCUAGUAUCUAAUUAUGUGCCUUCUUAGAAGUUCCAGGGGCUAAUCUUGAGAUGGGCAGACCAAGCCUGGAGACCCAGCUGCAAAAUUCCAGAGAUUAUCUCAAGGUGGCUAGUGAACAACCCAGCCAUUGUGGAGAUGAUGUCAGCCCAUGCUCCAGGUAGACUGAGACCCAAGACAGCCACUGGAAUGAGACACACAGACAUUGUAUUCAGUCUAAUUCUUGCAUGUCUUCCAUACCAAGUUUCCCCUUUUUAAUCCCUUGCCCCUUGUCUUUCCCCCCAAAUUCAAAGUGGUCACUUUGGAUGGGAAUCCAGCCACUUCCCAUUACUAGUUUUGGUUAAUAAAGUCACUUUCUUUCCACCAGACCUUGCUCUUGUUGAACUCUGUAGGCAACAAGCAACCGGACCCGCAUUUGGUUACAGCGCUGCUCCUCACGCUGCCUCUAGACACGCAGAAGGCUGGAAAAUGGAUGCAGAAAGGCUGAAAAGCCUCAUGUUCCUACUACCUUGUUUGCCAAUGACAUCAAAGGCUUGUCAUGGAACAGGAAGUUGGUCUCCACCAGAUCCACCUUCCAAAUCUCAAGACUGCACUCCCCGCCAGUACUUGAUCCUCCCCACAGCCGCCGUCUCUCCAAGUCAAAGGCCCCUGAAGUUCUCCCUCACUCUGUUUCAAGUGGCAAAAGCCCCAGGCUCCAGGCCUGUUCACGGACUCCCGACAGAUCUCCUGCAGCUUUUCUCUUGCUCCUGCUUUUACUGGGAAUUAUAACUAUUUCAGCAGUUUUAGUGUUUGAAGGAAGCUUUCUCUACGUAUCUUUCCUCCCUCUGGGGACAGGAUUGCUUUACUCAUCACAGGGAAGGCCUUAAAUGACCUUCUGCUACAUCCACAGAUUUUAUUUCAUCUCUCUCCAUUAGAAAUAAAGAUGAAGGCAAGACCAUGGUUUCUGAGUUCUCUUAGUCUCCACAGAAUGUAAUUACUACAUUUUUUUCUUUUUCUAAUCACAGGAGACUUCUCUCAGCAACCUAGUUACUGAUUCUAUUACUCCCUCACUCUCCACUUCCAACUGCUCUUUGAAGCGGCUUUUUUAGGGAAAUUAUUCCGCUUCAAGUUGUUUAAGAGGCCUCAUUAAUGAGGUUGAUGACAGUCAGAUCCUGCCAUGCCUCUUAAGAGACUUGUCGUUUCCUCUACCCUAAACAUUGUAAAACAUACGCGGAUGGAAUGGUAAAGCAAUGUGGUCAUUAUUUGCCUAUUUGUAUCCACCAUUAGAAAACGUCUCCUUUUCAAUUUAAAAUACUCUCAAAAUAUGAGGUGUCGCCUAUUUGUCACUGGUCCCUACUCUCUCUCCUGUCUCCACAUCUGGGUUCAUUCAGUAACCACCAAAAGAAAAGCAACCCUUGGAAUCCAUUGUUAUCAUUUAUCCAUCCAAAACUGUGAAUGCUUACUAUGUGCCAGGCACUAUGCUAAGUGCUCAGAAGAGUAGGUGAAUAAAUAGGGUUCCCGUCUUCCAGACGCUUCCAAUCCAGAUAUUAUACAAGCGAUCAACUCAUACAAUAAUUUAAAGUGGGUGCCAGGUGUGGUGGCUCACGCUUGUAAUCCCAGCACUUUGGGAGGCCGAAGCAGGAGUAUCACCUGAAGUAGGAGUUCGAGACCAGCCUGACCAACACGGUGAAACCCCAUCUCUACUAAGUAUACAAAAAUUACCCUGGCGUGGUGGCGGAC